CUAUUCACCUAGAUGGCUUUGCACGUGGUUAAGACUAAGAGUAAAGUCCCUGCAGGGCCCGUGUUAGCUGUGUCUUCCUUCAUCCCUGCAGUGCCCUUGUUAGCUAUGUCUUCCUGCAUGUUACCAACCUCCAAUAAUAAUACUAACGAACAUGUCUGAAGCUCUUACCAGUUGUCAGGCAACGUGCAAAAUGCUUUCUGUACAUUAUCCCACUCAGUCUUCUCAAUUGUGAGGUGGGUACUGCAAUCAUGCCCAUUUCAGAGAGAAGAGAAACUGAGGCUUAAGCCCAGGCCUUUCUCAUUCCAUCCUCAAGAAGCACCAGAUGAGUGAGUAGUGUCCGUCCCUGUUUUGUGUUUCUGUUGGUGAUCUGCUGGAUCCUCUUCCUGACUUGGGGUGCAGCAAAGUUCUGUCCCUCCUCUGGGGUCUCCCUCAGUGAGGAACACACAUCCAUGGUCAAUGCCGGGUGGCUCUGCCCCUUGGAAGCUCUGCCCAUUGACUUUGCAUAAAGGGAGCACUGAACCCAGGGAGUCUCACCUUGCACCAAGGACAUCAGGUUUUCCUUCUGACCACCUUUAAGUGGGCCACUAAGUUGUUUUCCUUGAGUCUAGAGGCAAAAUGGCAACACCUGCCAGGAAGGGUUUCUCAGAGGUAGCCACCUGGCCCUGGUCCACCUGCAUCUGAAGCACCUGCAGGGCUUAUUAAACAUACAGGUUCCUGGGCCCCUUGACCUACUGGGUUAGAGUCUGACGGCAGGAAAGACCUGAGACUAUGCAUUUUAAAUAAGCGCCUUCCCAAAGCCCUACCCCAUUCGAGAACCUUUGUCUAAGGCAGAGAGGUUGCAAACUGUUGGCUCACGGUAAAAACAAGAAGACCUCUGCUAGUUUGAAAGAUCUGGCAAUGCCAAGCCUACUUUCCCUCAUGGCACUGACUGGAGACCCUGGGACAGGGCUUAGGCUGUCUCUCCAGCUCCCCCAUUCCCUGCCUG
rnacentral:lncRNA from 1 species